rnacentral:precursor_RNA from 1 species
AACUGCGUACAGCUCAUUAUAUCAGUAAUUAUUUAUUUGAUGGUACCUUACUACAUGGAUAACCGUAGUAAUUCUAGAGCUAAUACAUGCGUAAAGUCCCGACUCUUGCGGGGAGGGAUGUAUUUAUUAGAUAAAAAAUCAAUGCGGGUUCUGCCCGGUUAGUUGGUGAUUCAUAGUAACUGUUCGAAUCGAAUGGCUUUAUGCUGUCGAUAGUUCAUUCAAAUUUCUGCCCUAUCAGCUUUCGACGGUAGUGUAGUGGACUACCGUGGCGUUAACGGGUGACGGAGAAUUAGGGUUCGAUUCCGGAGAGGGAGCCUGAGAAACGGCUACCACAUCCAAGGAAGGCAGCAGGCGCGCAAAUUACCCAAUCCUGACACAGGGAGGUAGUGACAAAAAAUAACAAUACCGGGCCUUUUUAGGUCUGGUAAUUGGAAUGAGUACAAUUUAAAUCCCUUAACGAGUAUCAAUUGGAGGGCAAGUCUGGUGCCAGCAGCCGCGGUAAUUCCAGCUCCAAUAGCGUAUAUUAAAGUUGCUGCAGUUAAAAAGCUCGUAGUUGGAUUUCUGGCUUUGUGUAUUCGGCCCGCCGGGGUUACCCGUGUGAGUGCCGAGGUGCGCAUGCCAUCCUUCUAGUUCGAGUUUGCCCCUUCAUUGGUGGUGAGCUAGGUCUAGAUCGUUUACUUUGAAAAAAUUAGAGUGUUUAAAGCAGGCUUUUGCUAUGAAUACAUUAGCAUGGAAUAAUAAUUUAGGACUUCGGUUCUAUUUUGUUGGUUUUGCGUACUGAAGUAAUGAUUGAUAGGGAUAGUUGGGGGUGCUAGUAUUCAGUGGCCAGAGGUGAAAUUCUCGGAUUCACUGAAGACUAACUUAUGCGAAAGCAUUCACCAAGGAUGUCUUCUUUAAUCAAGAACGAAAGUUGGGGGAUCGAAGACGAUCAGAUACCGUCGUAGUCUCAACUAUAAACUAUGCCGNCUAGGGAUGGGUGGAAGGAGCAUUUUCGACUUCAUCCGCACCCNGUGAGAAAUCAAAGUGUUUGGGUUCCGGGGGGAGUAUGGUCGCAAGGCUGAA